CCCCCCACUAACAGCAACCAUGCCCCCCAUUAAUAUCAGUCAUUGCUCCCAACAUCAGUCAUGACCCCCACCAGCAUCAGCCAUGUUCCCCACCAGCGUCAGCCACACCCCUCACCAUUAUCAGCCACAGUUCCCACCGUCAUCAGCCAUGGCUCUCACUGGUGGGAGACAUAGAGGUGGUUGCCUGAGAAUAAAGCUUUUACUGUUGUAAUUCUUUAUUUUUUUAACCAUUUAUUAUUAUUAUUUUUUCCUACUGUACAGCAUGGUGACGCAGUUACAUAUACAUGUAUACAUUCCUUUUUCUCACAUUGCAUGUCCCAUCAUAAGUGACUUGAGUUCCCAGUGCUAUGUAGUAGGGUCCCAUUGCUAAUCCAUCCCAAAGGCAACAGUCUGCAUCAGCCCCAAGCUCCCAGUCUAUCCCACUCAAUUCUUGAUGUGUAAGUUCUUCCUUCUCUUUCACCAAAUUAAGUAGAUUCCAACUCCUUUGGAAAAUGCCUUCCUUCCUCUUCUUGUUUCCUCCUCCUCUCGGUAUUCCUCCUCAGCAUUUACUUAUUCCCACCAACACUUGUCUCCCCUUCUGGCCCUCUAUCAUCUUUCUUUCCCUUUAUUUAUUUCUGAAUCCUCAACUAAUGGAGCUAAGAGAGAUCUAAAAAGUUAUCUAGUACAGUCCACUCAUCCAUUUUACAGAUGAGAACACUGUGGUCUAGGGCGAGAAAGGGACGCCCACAGUGAAUUCUUGGCCAAACCCAGAGCAGACCUGAGUUGAGUGCUCUUUCCUCUUUAUUGUUCUGCUCGUCUCCCUUUCUCUCCCCUUCUUCCCCUUUUUUAUUUUUUGCCCAGCGCUAUUUCUUCUUUCCUUUCGUCACUUCGUAAAUCCCGUGGUGACAAACGGAAAGGAAAUCAGGAUCCUGGGCAGAAGAAUUAAGCGGAAGUGUGUUGCCAAGUUCUUUUCACCUCCCUUCCUCCCUGGGGAGGCUGUGAUUUGGAGAGAGCCUGUCAGUUUUCAUCCUCAGGGACGCGACUCCCUCCACGCUGACCCACCAUAUCUCCGAGCUGGCAGGGUGGCCUGCGGGCAUCCCAGACUGGGAAGACCCCUGCCUCAGUUUCCUCACCCACAAAAUGGGUGUGAUAAUAGGACCCACUUCAUAGGGUUGCUAUAAAGCUUAAUUAGUGAAUACACAUGGAGUUUUUAGAGAAGCUCAAGAACUUCUUACGGUAGAAGAACUUUAGAGAAGUUCAAAAACUUUGUAUAGUUAGUUCUAAAUAUAUGCUAUCUAUAAUCUUAUUCAUUAUAACUAUUAUUAUUUAGAGGAAUUCCUGUCUUGAGGGCAAAGUGUUGAAAGUCACAGAUGCCAUUCCCAUGGAAGAAGGAAAUGAAAAACUGAAUGUAGCUUAAAUAGGUACUUUUUGGUGACUUGGUCCUGCUAUGCUUUUCCUGUUGAAUGUGCCUACUUUUUACUAGAUAUGCCACCUUUUCCCCAAGUAUUUGUAUUCUUGGAAAUAGUAGCCUAUGUCUGUGAUUCACCCUGAGAAGCUGUUUGGGACUAAAAAGUCAAGUUAGGCCUUGUUCAGAACUGGCAGCAAAGACUUUCUCAGUUCCUGCUGGUAUUUUUCAUUUAAAACAAUGGCAGUGUCCAAGAUAAAAGAUCCUAGUACAAUAGUCUCCAAACCCAAAUUGCUUGCAGAUCAUAUGAUGAGUUUUGCCCAAUUAAUAAACUGUUAUUUAAUUUACUUUUAAUUUGAUAUUUUCACCUUAAAAUAAACUCUCAGUAUUAUGAUGAAGUUGGUAAAUUCUAGUACCUAGUAAAAUAAAGUUCAUGAUAAGUAAAAUAAAAUUAUCCUGUAGCAUUGAGAUUUAUGUUGCAUACUAUUUGUGGAGUGAUCAUUAGGUUUCAGGGGAGAUUGUUGGGGAAACAAGAGAUGUACAGUCCUCAGUCCUUGUCUGGGCUGGGCAUUAAUUUGUUGUUGACUCUUCCCUUUGGUCUUAGUUCCUCCCUGGGAAUUGAAGGGAUUGGGUGAGAUAAUUAUUUCCUUCACUAACUUUUUUUCUAAUGAUCAGGAGGAUUUUACGAAAUUAUAUACAGAAUAGGGUAGGGCUCCUGUCAUCCUGAUGAAAAUAUAUUCCAUCCAUCAUUUGUUGUAAAAACCCAAGUCUAUAAUUUACACUCUGGCCUUCCAUUUUCCAGUGACAUUUUGCUUCCAGCACAAUGACUUUAGUGGGAAAAGGAAACUUCCAUUUGCUCAUAAAAUUCCUCCAAAAACACCAAACAGUCUCAGCCUGCAGGCUUGUUUUUACCUGGAGGAAACCAGUCAACUGGGAGCUGGUUCAGAUCUCUCCAAAUGUCUUUUCUGAUUCCUGGUACAGGUUGUCUCUUCUUAAGGUGAACUCCGAGUUUGAUUUUUGUGCCCAAGCUUUCUGAUAGCCUCUUUAAAAAAAAUACUCUACUUUCUAGCUUCCAGAAUUAAUAUAUAUUGUUGUAAACAUCCAAGCAUUACCAAAAUAUUUAAUGUAGGAAAUGAAAGUCCCCCACAGUCUCAUCAUUCUCAAGAAAUAAUAACAACUAUAAACAGUUUUGGGUCCAUUUCUCUAGACGUUUUUUUCCUAUACGAGAACAAUGAAACAUUAAAAAAACGGGAGUCUACUAUACAUACUGUUUUGCUACUUCCUUCUUUCCGCCUAUUUGAUCUUUUGUCCUGGUUAUAAAAGUCAAACUUUUCUGCAUGGAAUGAGGUCAUCUGCCCUUGGCACUAACUGGCUGUAAGACUUUGGAUGAAUCACUCUCAGGAUUUCAGUUUCCUCACCAGUGAAAGGGAACUGUUCUGUCCCACCUGCCCACCUCCCUGUGUUGGAGGCUUUAUGGGAGAGAAGGGGCGUGUGUGAAAGUAUAGGCCCCCAGGAGUUCCCCUUGUGGUUCAGUGGUUAACAAAUCUGACUAGGAACCAUAAGGUUGUGGGUUCGAUUCCUUGCAUCGCUCAGUGGAUUAAGGAUCCGGCACUGCUGUGAGCUGUGGCAUAGAUCAUAGAUGCGCCUUGGAUCCCACAUUGCAGUGGCUGUGGUGUAGUUGGCAGCUGCAGCUCCAAUUGGACCCCUAGCCUGGGAACCUCCAUUAAAAAAAAAAAAAAGGCAAAAAAAAAAAAAAAAAAAGAAAGUGUGGGCCCCCUGUGAUGGACUCCAAUGACCCACCCUCUGUCUCAUCCUCCUGUUUGACUGGGGUUAGAGCACUGACCAUGGCCUGAAAUUCUAUAGUUUCCCAAGGUGUUUCUUUAUUUGUACACAUCUCUGGAAUGUAAAUCCUGUGAGAGCAAGGCCCACAUCUGUUCUUCUCAUUACUCUAUCUGUCCCUAGAAUGUAGAGUGAUUUCUGGCUUGUUGUAGGAAUUCAACAAAUAUUUUUUUGGAUACUGAAUGAAUUAUCCACUCUUCGCCAGGCUUCCAGUUGAUGAAAGGCCCAAUGGGAAGGAACAGGGCAGAGUAGGCCUGGGCUGAGGCUGGGUAAUGGCAGGCAGCUGGCCCAUCCAGGGCCCUUGAGCUGUACAUCAGCCAGCUUGCCUUUUCUGUAAGCCCUCUGCCUCUGCCCGCAUCGUCCUCUCUUGGCACUCUUUGCCACCUGGUGAAUUAGUCAUUCUUUAUGGCCCAGAUUAAGUGUCCUGACUCCUAUUAAUAUUGUCUUCAUUUUUGGACCAUCUCCCUACCUCCAGACAGAGUUUCUUUAUGUUCCCACAAUGCUUAUCCUUUUUAAAAUGACAUAAUGGUUUUCUUGGUUAACACAAUUGCUAUAUGCCAUAUGUAGUGGUGACACUCUACAUGCCUUCUCCCAUAAAAUCCUUGGGGUGAUUUGUCAGGGGGAAUAGUUAUCAUUGCCAUCUUACAGAUGAGGAAAAUUGAGGUUUAUGCAUCUUAAAAACAAUCUUACUCCAAGGAAUGGAAUGGUUUACCAUAGCAAGUGGUAUAACCAAUAUUCCAGAACGUAUUUGACUGAUUCCCAAGCUAUGUUUUUUAACCACUGGGUCUUCUAUGAAUCAACUUAAUUUGAGAAUUGUGAAAGGACAGCUGGAAAGACCUAUGGUCUUUACCAAGAUCAAUCUUAUUUGAGGGAUGGAAAACCUGAUACUCAGUCACAAAGAGCCGAGCUUUCAGGGGGAGAAAGAUCUUGUUCUAAUCUCUAAACUGUCAAAUUCUGAGGUAGCAUGGGGAUUGAAUCUUUUACUGAACUUUGUCACCCUCUUUGUUGGAAGUGUAGCUUUUCCUAUUUCAAGGCAUUUUUCAAUGAAUUUCUCCAAGCCCCUUCUCUCUGGGCAUGAUGCAAGACAUUUUUCACAGAACUCGAACAAAAUAUUUUAAAAUUUGUUUGGAAGCACAAAAGACCCAGAAUAGCCAAAGACAUCCUGAAAAGGAAAAAUGGAGCUGGAGGAAUCAAGUUCCCUGGCUUCAGACUAUACUACAAAGCAACAGUCAUCAAAACCGUAUGAUACUGGCACAAAGACAGAAAUAUAGAUCAGUGGAACAGGAUAGAAAGCCCAGAAUUAAACCAACACAUGCAGCUACAGUCAACUAAUCUAUGAAAAAGGAGGCAAGAACAUACAAUGGAGAAAAGACAGCCCCUUCAAUAAGUGGUGCUGUGAAAACUGGACACACAGGUAAAAGAAUGAAAUUAGAACACUCCCUAAUACCAUACACAAAAUAAACCCCAAAUGGAUUAAAGACCUAGAUAUAAUAAGACCAGAUACUAUAAAACUCUUAGAGGAAAACAUAGGCCAAACCCUCUCUGACAUAAAUGACAGCAAUAUCUUCUCAGAACCACUUCUAAGAGUAAUGACAGUAAAAACAAAAAUAAACAAAUGGGAUUAAUUAAACUUAAAAGUUUUUGCACAGCAAAGGAAACCCUAAACAAAAUGAAAAGACAACCCACAGAAUGGGAGAAAAUCUUUGCAAAUGAAUUGACUGACAAGGGAUUAAUCUCCAACAUUUAUAAACACCU
rnacentral:lncRNA from 1 species